rnacentral:rRNA from 1 species
UACGAAGGGGGCUAGCGUUGCUCGGAAUCACUGGGCGUAAAGCGCAUGUAGGCGGCUUGUUAAGUCAGGGGUGAAAUCCUGGAGCUCAACUCCAGAACUGCCUUUGAUACUGGCGAGCUUGAGUUCGGGAGAGGUGAGUGGAACUGCGAGUGUAGAGGUGAAAUUCGUAGAUAUUCGCAAGAACACCAGUGGCGAAGGCGGCUCACUGGCCCGAUACUGACGCUGAGGUGCGAAAGCGUGGGGAGCAAACAGG